UACGUAGGGGGCAAGCGUUGUCCGGAAUCAUUGGGCGUAAAGCGCGUGUAGGCGGCCCGGUAAGUCUGUUGUGAAAGUCCAGGGCUCAACCCUGGAAUGCCGAUGGAUACUGCCGGGCUAGAGUGCGGAAGAGGCGAGUGGAAUUCCUGGUGUAGCGGUGGAAUGCGCAGAUAUCAGGAGGAACACCGAUAGCGAAGGCAGCUCGCUGGGACGACACUGACGCUGAGGCGCGAAAGCGUGGGGAGCGAACAGG
rnacentral:rRNA from 1 species